CCCUAUUUCUUCUUCUGUUCCCCGCGCCGCGCGCGCUAACUCUGGGGGGAAGUUGGUUGCAAAGUUUCCGAGGGCGGCGUGGGCUCCAGCGAGCGAGGCGGAGGGCGGGGUGCGGGCGCGGGGAGGCGAGAACAGACGCGCUCCUCGCGGAGUCUUUGUUCCGCUCCGGGGGAGAGACCUGGCGAGGAGUCGCCCGGGGAGGACCGGGACUGUCCGCCGCGACAUUCCGGGCUCGGCGGGGGCUCUUGGCUCCCUCCCCCAUCUCCUCCUUCAGGCAUCCCCCACCCCCCACCCAGCUCCCGACCUUGGUCCCAAGUUUACAGGCCUCCUUCUGCCUCAUCCCUUUACCCACCCACCCCCCAACUGCAUCAACCCAAAGACCCUCAAGUCUGGGAUGGGGAAGGAGGGAUGGGGGCGAAGGUGCGCGAUGGGCCGAGUACCUCCUGAAAGGUGGAUGUUUGCUUUGGAAUGUUGAUUUUUUUUUUCUUUGCCCUAGAAACUGCUUUCCAUUGUGGGCCCCCAUUCUCUCCCAUUCCCCCCAACCUCCGGCUUCCCUUCCCUUCAAUUCUAGUAAGAUCCUGAAGGAAAAUGAGCGCUACUCUGAGUCACUCCGAGCGCCAGUACUGUGGCCCGCAGUUGGGAUGAGCGUCUAAGGAUAGGGAACGUGAGGAUGGGGGUCCCCGGUACAGACGGUCGGGGAAACACUGGUAAAGGGUCUGGAGGAGGGUCCGGAGCUGUUUUUGGUCCGGAACACCCGAGCUGCCCGGGCAAGGCAGUGGGGGAGGAGGCGGAAAGACGGGAUGCUUGGAGUUGCCAGGGAGUAGAGGUCGGGGAGGCAGCCAGGGACCCUGAGUCCGAUUUUUGGAGCGAGGUCAAGGCAGUGGUGCAGAGAAGGGAGCCAGGUGAGGAGGGCCUGGCUCCAGGAUCAGAGGGAGCGCGGCCACCCGGAGAGCCUUGCCUGCGCGGUCUGUGCUUCGGAGAAGUUUGGGGCCUGAGGGGUGGGCGCGAUGCUCGAGGUGGGAAUCUGUCCUCGGCGCCCCUGGACCAAGUCGCGCAGCGCCUGCAGCAACAGGCCACACAAAAGUGUCCGAGCGCCUCGAGGACCGCGACAAGGGAAGUGUCUCUUCAAAGUGCGACCAAGUGGGGAAGAAGGUGUGAUUACUGUGGUCAGCAUCUAGAAAACAUCAGAAGCGCUCCUACCUCCUCUGUGCUGUAUCCUUCUUACUGGAUCUUCCCAUCAGUGAACAUUGUGGAAGUACCAUUACAGCAUCGUCAUUCCUGA
rnacentral:lncRNA from 1 species